rnacentral:rRNA from 1 species
UACGUAGGGUGCGAGCGUUGUCCGGAAUUAUUGGGCGUAAAGGGCUCGUAGGCGGUUUGUCGCGUCGGGAGUGAAAACCCAGGGCUUAACCCUGGGCUGGCUUCCGAUACGGGCAGACUAGAGGUAUGCAGGGGGAGAACGGAAUUCCUGGUGUAGCGGUGAAAUGCGCAGAUAUCAGGAGGAACACCGGUGGCGAAGGCGGUUCUCUGGGCAUUACCUGACGCUGAGGAGCGAAAGUGUGGGGAGCAAACAGG